rnacentral:rRNA from 1 species
GACGAACGCUGGCGGCGUGCUUAACACAUGCAAGUCGAACGGAAAGGCCCUGCUUUCGUGGUGUGCUCGAGUGGCGAACGGGUGAGUAACACGUGAGUAACCUGCUCUUGAUUUUGGGAUAACUUCAGGAAACUGGGGCUAAUACCGGAUAGGAGCUCCUGUUGCAUGGUGGGGGUUGGAAAGUUUCGGCGGUUGGGGAUGGACUCGCGGCUUAUCAGCUUGUUGGUGGGGUAGUGGCUUACCAAGGCUUUGACGGGUAGCCGGCCUGAGAGGGUGACCGGCCACAUUGGGACUGAGAUACGGCCCAGACUCCUACGGGAGGCAGCAGUGGGGAAUAUUGCACAAUGGGCGGAAGCCUGAUGCAGCAACGCCGCGUGCGGGAUGACGGCCUUCGGGUUGUAAACCGCUUUCGCCUGUGACGAAGCGUGAGUGACGGUAAUGGGUAAAGAAGCACCGGCUAACUACGUG